CACGCCGUAAACGAUGGAUACUAGUGGUAUGGAGAUUCGACCCUCUGUGUCACGAAGCUAACGCGAUAAGUAUCCCGCCUGGGGAGUACGAACGCAAGUUUAAAACUCAAAGGAAUUGACGGGGACCCGCACAAGCAGUGGAGGAUGGGGUUUAAUAUGAAGCUACGCGUAGAACCUUACCGAGGCUUGACAUCCUGGGAAUCCGAUCGAAAGAUUGGAGUGCCUUCGGGAGCCUAGUGACAGGUGC
rnacentral:rRNA from 1 species